AUUGAACGCUGGCGGCGUGCCUUACACAUGCAAGUCGAACGGCAGCACGGGAGCAAUCCUGGUGGCGAGUGGCGAACGGGUGAGUAAAGUAUCGGAACGUGCCCAGUCGUGGGGGAUAACGUAGCGAAAGUUACGCUAAUACCGCAUACGAUCUAUGGAUGAAAGCGGGGGAUCGCAAGACCUCGCGCGAUUGGAGCGGCCGAUAUCAGAUUAGGUAGUUGGUGGGGUAAAGGCUCACCAAGGCGACGAUCUGGAGCUGGUCUGAGAGGACGCCCAGCCACACUGUGGCUCAGCCACGGGCCAGACUCCUACGGGAGGCAGCAGUGGGGAAUUUUGGACAAUGGGCGCAAGUCUGAUCCAGCCAUGCCGCGUGCAGGAUGAAGGCCUUCGGGUUGUAAACUGCUUUUGUACGGAACGAAAAGGUUUGACUUAAUACGUUGGACUCAUGACGGUACCGUAAGAAUAAGCACCGGCUAACUACGUGCCAGCCGCCGCCGUAA
rnacentral:rRNA from 1 species